rnacentral:rRNA from 1 species
UACGUAGGGGGGCUAGCGUUGUCCGGAUUUAUUGGGCGUAAAGAGCGUGUAGGCGGCCAGGUAGGUCUGCUGUGAAAACUCGAGGCUCAACCUCGAGACGUCGGCGGAAACCAUCUGGCUAGAGUCCGGAAGAGGAGAGUGGAAUUCCUGGUGUAGCGGUGAAAUGCGCAGAUAUCAGGAAGAACACCAAUGGCGAAGGCAGCUCUCUGGGACGGUACUGACGCUGAGACGCGAAAGCGUGGGGAGCGAACAGG